rnacentral:rRNA from 1 species
UACGUAGGGGGCUAGCGUUGUCCGGAAUCAUUGGGCGUAAAGAGCGUGUAGGCGGUCCGGUAAGUCCGCUGUGAAAGUCGGGGGCUCAACCCUCGAAUGCCGGUGGAUACUGUCGGGCUAGAGUGCGGAAGAGGCGAGUGGAAUUCCUGGUGUAGCGGUGAAAUGCGCAGAUAUCAGGAGGAACACCUAUUGCGAAGGCAGCUCGCUGGGACGUAACUGACGCUGAGACGCGAAAGCUAGGGGAGCGAACAGG